AGUUUAUAGAUGCGUUACAUCAAUUACAUUCAAAUUACGAUAUGGGUUUGUGUAGUGGCAGACGGAGAAAACACCCUUGCAAAAGAGCAAACUCCCCGUCUCACAGGUGCACAGGUGUGUGUGGAUGAAAGAGAAGGCGUGCACAUGCCAAAGGAGGCCAGCGACAACCGACUCUACAUUCAUUCGAUAAUGAUCCUUCCGCAGGUUCACCUACGGAAA
rnacentral:misc_RNA from 1 species